UCAAUAAACCCCAGAACCCAGGUCCAACCCAUCAGACCUCGCCGCACCCUUUCUUCCCCCGCAUUGCCGCCGCCGCCCCCUGCUGCCAUGGCGAAAUCAUCGUCAGCGACGGCGACGGCGACGGCGUCGGGCACUAAGAAGCGGAAGUCUAAAUCCGGGGCCCUCACCCACGAGGAGGUGAAGGCGCUCGGCCUCGAGCUCCUCUCCUCGCGCGCCCACCUCAACCACGCCCCCACCCUCCUCGCGCUCCUCUCCCCCACCGCGCCGCUCAGCAUCGCCCUCGAGGCGCUCAUCUCGCUCCAGUCCUUCUUCGAGCCCCUGCUCCCCUCCAUCCCCUCCGCCUCGGCCGCAGCCGCCGCCGCAGGAGGUGCGAGCGACGACCCCGAGCUCGUGUUUGGGGCGUGGCUGCGGCAGCGCUUCGAGGAGUUCGUUGCCGCGCUCGUGGAGCUCAGCGUGUCGCCGGAUAGCGACGAGGCGAUCAGGGAAGUGGCGCUUGAUGCGUUCAUGGAUUUCGUGAAGCUGGGGAAGGACGGGAGCUUCCACUCGGCAAUUUACCACAAGUUUCUCCACGCUGUGGUUCAUGCUACGAAUUCGAUUGAUGAUGUUCUAGAGUUGCUUGGGUCCAAGUACUCUAAGUAUGCUGACGUUUGUUUUUUUACUUAUACUAGCUUAGAUAAGAUCGCCAACAGUCUGGUCAGUCAAACCACUGGCUCUGGAAAAGAUGUCUUGCAGAAUGGGGAUGACGGGGCUGAAGACAGGAGCGCUAUCUGUGUACGCAAUGUAUACAAUAUUUUGGUGCAUGUUCCCGCAUUGGAUUUUAAGAAGGAAUCAAAGUUUGAUAUGUGGAGUACUGUUGGCCUUUCUUCAAAAGGAGAGAAGGACACCUCUGAGGGCUCUUCUGCUACGCGUAUAAGCAAAAAGCUAAAAUUGAAGUUCACCAAAGCAUGGUUGGCCUUUCUCAAGCUACCACUUCCACUUGAUGUCUACAAGGAGGUCCUUGCUACACUUCAUCAGAAUGUUAUUCCUUCAAUGUCAAACCCAGCCAUCUUGUGUGAUUUCUUGACUACAUCAUACGACAUUGGCGGUGUUAUCAGUGUGAUGGCCUUAAGUGGUCUAUUCAUCCUUAUGACACAGCAUCAGCUUGAAUAUCCAAAAUUCUAUGAUAAGCUCUAUGCAUUACUGACUCCUGCUGUGUUCAUGGCAAAACAUCGGUCAGUGUUCUUGCAACUUCUGGAUGCUUGUCUGAAAUCUUCGUAUCUUCAAGCAUAUCUUGUCGCUUCAUUUGCAAAACGAUUGAGUAGACUCGCCCUUUCAGUGCCACCAGCUGGAGCUCUUAUCAUCAUUGCUUUAAUUCAUAAUCUGCUGCGGAGGCACCCAUCAAUUAAUUUUUUGGUUCAUUGGGAAGUUGCUCAGGAUGAUGGAGAAGCUAGUUUACCUAAGAAGAUUGGCGCUGAUCCUUUUAACAAUGAAGAGACAGACCCUGCAAAAUCUGGCGCAAUGCGAAGUUCUUUGUGGGAAAUAGACACGCUGCGCCAUCACUACACUCCUGCAGUUUCAAGAUUUGUUGCGUCGCUUGAAACUGAUCUCACUGUUCGGGCCAAAACAAUGGAGAUGAAGAUCACAGACUUUAGUUCAGGCUCCUAUGCAACAGUUUUCCGAGAUGAGGCCCGGCGGCGGAUAAAACAAGUCCCACUUGCGUUCUACAGAAGUACGCCAACAUCUUUAUUUCAAGAGUCAGAUUUUCCUGGAUGGACCUUUGGGUGCCAGUCGAAUAGCGGGGCGCAAGCUAGCGUAGAAGGAAAUGCGGUCCACACACUAGAAACCGGUGAUGCCUCACCUGCUAAAAGCCUGUGGCGUGCACAGCGGGUGCUCCGAACGAACGGAAGGCUGUUGCUGCUGCUGACCUUUCCAGGCUAUGUUGUACGUGGAUGUAUUCCAGUUCGUUCCUCUUGCAAACUCCAACCACAUGUUUGACAUGAGGACCGGAGAGUUUUCUGGAGAAUAAGAUUGCAUUUUUAAGAAUAUCUAUGCAAGGCCCGAUACAGUGAGCGUUGGAGCUCUUUUCACAUUCAAUUCCACGAUAGGGAGAGCUGCCAAGAUUGCCAUUUCUGCUGCUGUCAAUGAGAUCAACACCGAUUCAAGCAUCCUUCCAGGCACAAACCUGGUUGUCGAGAUGCAAGAUUCCAAUUGCAGUGGCUUCGUUGGCAUUGUGCAAGCAUUGCAAUUCAUGGAGAAAGAUACAGUUGCAAUCAUCGGCCCACAAUCUUCUGUCAUCGCGCAUGUUAUUUCUCAUGUUGCAAAUGAACUUCAAGUGCCUAUGCUGUCCUUCGGUGCAACUGAUCCAACUCUCACGUCACUUCAGUUUCCUUUCUUGGUGAGGACAACCCGUAGUGAUCAUUUUCAAAUGGCUGCUGUUGCUGACUUGGUCGACUACUAUGGGUGGAAGCAAGUGACAGCUAUAUAUAUCGAUGAUGAUUAUGGAAGAAACGGCAUGGCCUCUUUAGGUGAUGAACUUGUCAAGAGGCGGGCUAAGAUCUCGUUUAAAGCUGCAGUUAGGCCAGGAGCAAAAAAGAGUGAAAUGGCUAGUGCGCUAGUCAGGGUUGCAUUGAUGGAAUCUCGAGUGGUAGUUCUGCAUGCAAAUCCUGACUCUGGGCUUGCACUUCUCUCGCUGGCACGCAAUCUCGGCAUGACAUCAAGCGGGUAUGUGUGGAUUGCAACAGAUUGGCUCAGUUCAUUCCUGGAUUCAUCGCCACGUCUCGACAUCGGAUUACUGAGCACAAUGCAGGGUUUUCUCACAUUACGCCAGCACACAGAAAAUACAAGAAGGAAGAGUAUGCUAGCUUCAAAAUGGAGUGCACUGGUGAAGAAAGAUACUGUUGACGACAAGUUCUUGAUUAAUUCGUAUGGCUUUUAUGCGUAUGAUUCUGUCUGGAUCCUUGCUUAUGCGCUGGACGCAUAUUUCAGUAGAGGUGGAAACAUUUCUUUCUCAAAUGACACCAAGCUACAUGAAGUUGGGGCAGGGGGUCUGCAAUUGAAAGCUAUGACUGUCUUUGAUGGGGGGAGGCUGUUACUAGAAAGAAUCCAGCAAGUGAAUUUCACGGGUGCAACUGGCCCUGUAAAAUUUGAUACAGAUGGUAAUCUUAUCCGUCCUGCGUACGACAUCGUUAACAUAGUAGGAUCUGGUCUGCGGACAGUUGGUUACUGGUCCAACUAUUCUGGCCUGUCCACCUCGUUGCCUGAGACUCUUUACAUGAAACCAGCAAAACGUGUUAGGGGAGAUCAGAAACUCCACACUGUGAUAUGGCCAGGUGAGACUACAGUAAGGCCACGUGGAUGGGUGUUUCCCAACAAUGGAAUUGAGCUGAAAAUUGGAGUUCCCAAUAGGGCAAGUUACCGUCAAUUUGUGUCAGUUGACAAUAACAGCGGAACGGUGCGUGGUUUCUGUAUUGAUGUGUUUGUUGCUGCAGCCAACUUGUUACAGUAUCCAGUUCCAUUUAAGUUUGUUCCGUUUGGGGAUGGUAGUCAGAAUCCAAGCUAUCCAGACCUUAUCAACAAUAUUCUAACGAAUGACUUCGAUGCUGUGGUAGGUGAUAUAGCUAUCGUCACAAAUCGGACAAGGGUUGUUGACUUCACUCAGCCAUACGUUGAGUCGGGGCUUGUGGUACUUACCUCUGUUAAGAAGCAAAGCUCGAGUGGAUGGGCCUUUUUGCAGCCAUUCACCAUCAAAAUGUGGUGCAUCACAGGGCUGUUCUUUCUUGUCAUAGGAACGGUGAUUUGGCUGCUUGAGCACAGAAUCAAUGAUGAGUUCCGCGGGCCUCCAGCGAAACAGGUUAUCACUGUAUUCUGGUUCAGUUUCUCAACUCUGUUCUUCGCGCACAGAGAGGACACGAGAAGCACCCUCGGCCGCUUCGUGAUCAUCAUAUGGCUCUUCGUGGUUCUGAUCAUCCAGUCCAGCUACACUGCCAGCUUGACCUCCAUACUCACCGUGCAGCAGCUCAUAUCUCCAAUCACAGGGAUCGAUAGCUUGGUCGCCAGCGACGAGCCCAUCGGGUUUCAAGUCGGCUCCUUUGCGGAAAGUUACCUCGUGAACGAGCUCGGUGUCUCGAGACACAGGCUUAAAUCCCUCGGUACUCCGGACGAGUAUAAGCAAGCGCUUGAGCUUGGCCCUGCCAAUGGAGGCGUCGCUGGCAUCGUUGACGAGCGUCCCUAUGUUGAGAUCUUCUUGCUCCUGCAUCCCAAAUUCGCAGUCGUGGGCUCGGAGUUCACCAAAAGUGGCUGGGGCUUCGCGUUCCCGAGGGACUCGCCGCUGGCGGUGGACCUGUCGACGUCCAUCCUGGAGCUGUCGGAGAACGGCGACCUCCAGCGGAUCCACGACAAGUGGCUGGCGAACAACGUGGCGGGGUCCAUGUCGCAGAACAACGAGCUGGAGUCGGACCGGCUGCAGGUGUACAGCUUCUCAGGGCUGUUCCUCAUCUGUGGCGUGGCGUGCCUCAUCGCCCUCGCCAUACACGCCGGCAUCCUCUUCCACAAGUACUGUGAGCAACGGCGGCAGGUGUCGGCCGACGGCAGCUCCCGCUCCAGCCGCAGCAGUUUCCGCGCGUUCCUGUCGUUCGCCGACCGACGGGAGAUGGACGCCCAUAUAGCGUCCAAGGACAAGGCGGCCGGAGACCACUCCAUUAGCGCGGCGUCGAGUAGCAGCGUCAGCACUGCCACGUCGUGCUAGAGGGAGGGGCGGACGGACGGCUGCCGGUUAGCUUUCAACGUAGCAAGUGCGACAUAUAGCAGUAACCCCCCAACGUAAGUACUGUACUACUUAAUUAGCGCUGUGCUGCAAAUGUUCUCUCCUCGUGCUGCAGAAUUGUAGAGAUGCGUAAGCUGUUGUGCACAUGGAGCAACUUCAGUACACGUUCCCGAGAAACUUGCUCUUGUAACUUCUGCUGCGUCCUGGCGCUUGCUACGUCGCGCUGAUAUAGCUAUUUGCUUUUGGUUUGUGUCUUGUAUAUGUCUGUAUGUCAGUUUCCGGAGGCCGGCGAUGAGGAUUUUGUAAGCGUGCUUAUUCCAGCGGCUGGCUGGCUAGCGAUGUAGGAGUAGUUCGGUUGCUUUCGCUUUGCAGGGUGAGGCCGUGGCCCAAGGAAAUGAGCACGGCCACCGGCCGCCUUCGCUCGCGGUGACGGUUUCGGCUGCGGUAGAAGCUUGCGUCCUAACAUGGGCUCAUUUCCUGCUGGGAGAAGACCGCGAAGUUAUUAGCUCUUCAGUGUGUCUGUUGUCUGUUCGCGCUAUCCACGCGUUGAGUCGAAUAUGAUUUAUUUAAUUUUUUUGCGAGGGCAGUCGAAUAUGAUUACGGCAUGAAUGAAUGAACUCAA